AUAAAUACUAAAACUGGAAGGAUACAGAGAAGAUUAGCAUGACCCCUGCACAAGGAUGACAUGCAAAUUUGCGAAGCAUUUCAUAAAUUU
rnacentral:snRNA from 1 species